AAAAAUUGAAAAAAAUUAUAAUUGCUGGAUUUAUUCAAAUCAGAUUAAAACCGAAACCAAAUCGAGAGAUGCAGUCCAAUUUCCAGUCCUUAUCUAGGGACCAGAAGAGUAGGCCAGGCCUAUCCACAGAUGCAAGGUAAGAAAGAGGACUUACAUGAGAAAACCACAGUUGGUACUCAUACAAACUCAACAAAAAUCAAGGCAGAAUCGGUAGAUGGCAUAUGCUAAGCGAUGGAGACAGGAAAUUAUCAAAUGGGGUUCAAUGUGAAAUUUUCAGCUCCUGGCCAGAAGAUAGCAAGUACCUUUGAUCUA